rnacentral:rRNA from 1 species
GACGAACGCUGGCGGCGUGCUUAACACAUGCAAGUCGAACGGAAAGGCCUGCUUUCCCUUGUGGCUUGCGGGUACUCGAGUGGCGAACGGGUGAGUAACACGUGAGUGAUCUGCCCCCAACUUGGGUAUAAGCCUGGGAAACUGUGUCUAAUUCCCGAUAGGACUGCAGGGUGCUGCCUGUGGUGGCACACGAUUUUCUAGUGGUUGGGGAUGAGCUCGCGGCCUAUCCGCUUGUUGGUGGGGUAAUGGCCUACCAAGGCGGCCACGGGAAGCCGGCGUGAGAGGGUGGACGGUCAGAGUGGGACUGAGAUACGGCCCGGACUACGACGCGAGGCAGCAGUGGGGAGUAGGGAGCAGUGGGCGGAAGCCUGAAGCAGCGACGCCGCGUGGGGGACGACGGCCUUCGGAUGGUAAACUCCUUUGGGCCGCGAGGAAGCUACCUGGUUGGAAGGGUGGUGACGGUAGUGGGAGAAGAAGCACCGGCUAACUACGUG